rnacentral:rRNA from 1 species
GAAAACCUACGGGACGCAGCAGUGAGGAAUAUUGGUCAAUGGGCGAGAGCCUGAACCAGCCAAGUCGCGUGAGGGAGUACUGCCCUAUGGGUUGUAAACCUCUUUUGUCGGGGAGCAAAAGCCGGACGUGUCCGUCUGUGAGAGUACCCGAAGAAAAAGCAUCGGCUAACUCCGUGCCAGCAGCCGCGGUAAUACGGAGGAUGCGAGCGUUAUCCGGAUUUAUUGGGAUUAAAGGGUGCGCAGGCGGAUUUUUAAGUCAGCGGUCAAAUCGUGGGGCUCAACC